AUAAAUAUCAGCGUGAGCCCUUGUUUGAGUAUCAGAAGCUUCUUAGCAGUUUCUCAGCAGUUACAGACUCGCACACCAAGUCUCCACGCAGCCAACAUGAAGGCCUUUUUCGCCCUUUUCCUCGCUUUGUUCGUCGUCGUGGCCGUCUCCGCUGUUGAACCAGAGGCCAAGAAGGAUCUGAAGGGUGCCGAGCAGUUCUACUACGCUGCACCAUACGGCGCCCUGGGAUACUCCGCCUAUCCCUAUGCUGCUUACCCAGCUGCUUACUACUACCGCUGAGUGCCAUAGUCCGCUGUAGUACCAAGACAUCCGGAUGACGACACUGCCCAUCUAAUUGUUGAAUUGACGGACUCAUUAACUGCUGUCCGUUUCUUCAACAAUUAGAAGCGAUAACUUCAAUGUGUCAAGUUCAACAACACCUUAAAUGAUGGGACGAUGUUGUACAUGAUACGACAAAAUUUAAGCAACAAUUCUAUUUCAAUUUCUCUUUCUCUGGCUAUGUUUCCUUGUGGCAUUUAUAUUACUAAGCAGUUUCGUAAGUAAAUGUUU